ACUAUCCAAGCCGACCUUUGAGCCGCUUCUAGUAUUGCUUGCUUCGACUUUGUUAACCUAUUUUGUCUUUUCAGUAUACCGUGUUGGUGACUACCUGGAUGUUACCCAGGUUGGCCACCAAUGGAUUUUGCUUAUGAGACCUCGUUCCCACCAUACAAUUCUCCAAACACCGUUAACGUCCAAGGGACUAAGUAUCUUGGCAGAACUCACCUCCGUAGUCCCACGCUGUUUCCUCCGGCCCGACUCCCUCUCCUCCUGGCGGUUUGUCAACAACCAACUACUUUGCCUACUGUGCCAAGACCGUACUUACUUCUGUGCUUUCAAUAAAUCUGUUAAACACU